UACGGAGGGUGCAAGCGUUGUUCGGAAUCAUUGGGCGUAAAGCGCGCGCAGGUGGCCAUCCAAGUCUGAUGUGAAAGCCCGAGGCUCAACCUCGGAGGUGCAUUGGAAACUAGAUGGCUUGAGUCCAAGAGAGGUUAGUGGAAUUCGUGGUGUAGGUGUGAAAUCCGUAGAUAUCACGAGGAACACCAGUGGCGAAGGCGACUGACUGGAUUGGUACUGACGCUGAGGCGCGAAAGCGUGGGGAGCAAACAGG
rnacentral:rRNA from 1 species